AUUGAACGCUGGCGGCAUGCCUUACACAUGCAAGUCGAACGGCAGCACGGGAGCAAUCCUGGUGGCGAGUGGCGAACGGGUGAGUAAUAUAUCGGAACGUGCCCGGUCGUGGGGAUAACGUAGCGAAAGCUACGCUAAUACCGCAUACGAUCUACGGAUGAAAGCGGGGGAUCGCAAGACCUCGCGCGAUUGGAGCGGCCGAUAUCAGAUUAGGUAGUUGGUGAGGUAAAGGCUCACCAAGCCGACGAUCUGUAGCUGGUCUGAGAGGACGACCAGCCACACUGGGACUGAGACACGGCCCAGACUCCUACGGGAGGCAGCAGUGGGGAAUUUUGGACAAUGGGCGCAAGCCUGAUCCAGCAAUGCCGCGUGCAGGAUGAAGGCCUCGGUUGUAACU
rnacentral:rRNA from 1 species